rnacentral:rRNA from 1 species
CAGACGAUGCGUCAUGCAUAUCAAUAAGCGGAGGAAAAGAAACUAACAAGGAUUCCCCUAGUAACGGCGAGUGAAGCGGGAAGAGCUCAAAUUUGAAAUCUUAAAGGGUUUCCCUUUACGAAUUGUAGUUUAAAGAAGUGUUUUCUGUUGAGGUUUUGGUAAAAGUUCUUUGGAAUAGGACAUCAUAGAGGGUGAGAAUCCCGUAUUUGACCUUUACUUUCAACUUUGUGAUACACUUUCAAAGAGUCGGAUUGUUUGGGAAUACAGUCCAAAAUGGGUGGUAAAUUUCAUCUAAAGCUAAAUAUUGGCGAGAGACCGAUAGCGAACAAGUACCGUGAGGGAAAGAUGAAAAGAACUUUGAAAAGAGAGUUAAACAGUACGUGAAAUUGUCAAAAGGGAAGCGUUUGACACCAGUGUUGUUUUUCUGAAAAUCAAUUAAAGAACUGUUUAUGCUAAGCUGUUUAGACUUUAUCAGCUAAUCUGUUUAGUUUUGAGCUUUUCUUUAAUGCACUUUUCAGUUAACAAGUCAACAUCAAUUUCUUUUGCUGUAAAAAAGCUUGAGGAAGGUGGCUUGAGAUUCGUCUUAAGUGUUUAUAGCCUCUUGCCUAUGCAGUCGGAGAGAUUGAGGUCUGCAGCGUAGAUCCUUCGGGGCUAAAUGCAUUUGUGCUAAGUUAUAGCAUUUUAUAGACAACUUGUUGACUAUGAUUUGUCUUGUAGCUUACUCGCUUAUGUUAUUUUACCUACGCUUAGGAUGUUGACACACGCGCGUGCUCG